rnacentral:rRNA from 1 species
GCGGCGCUUUUCUUGUAAAUGUCUGGGAAACUGCCUGAUGGAGGGGGAUAACUACUGGAAACGGUAGCUAAUACCGCAUAACGUCGCAAGACCAAAGAGGGGGACCUUCGGGCCUCUUGCCAUCAGAUGUGCCCAGAUGGGAUUAGCUAGUAGGUGGGGUAAUGGCUCACCUAGGCGACGAUCCCUAGCUGGUCUGAGAGGAUGACCAGCCACACUGGAACUGAGACACGGUCCAGACUCCUACGGGAGGCAGCAGUGGGGAAUAUUGCACAAUGGGCGCAAGCCUGAUGCAGCCAUGCCGCGUGUGUGAAGAAGGCCUUCGGGUUGUAAAGCACUUUCAGCGAGGAGGAAGGUGGUGAACUUAAUACGUUCAUCAAUUGACGUUACUCGCAGAAGAAGCACCGGCUAACUCCGUGCCAGCAGCCGCGGUAAUACGGAGGGUGCAAGCGUUAAUCGGAAUUACUGGGCGUAAAGCGCACGCAGGCGGUUUGUUAAGUCAGAUGUGAAAUCCCCGGGCUCAACCUGGGAACUGCAUUUGAAACUGGCAAGCUAGAGUCUCGUAGAGG